rnacentral:lncRNA from 1 species
UUUUGAUGAUUUGGCCAAGGCAUUUACGCAAUCGUCUUCUGUCGCAGAAUCCCAUCUCACGGGUGGACGAUGAGCCUCAUGGUUUGGUUUCUAAUUUAGUUCCAUCCCCUGUACUUGGGGAAACAUCCGUAUGUCCAGUAGCAUCUUUCUUCUCUUGUAGAAAUAGAUUAGAUGUAAGAUAAGAUCAUGUUCAGAUCUAGAAUUCGUAGGCUCCAUGGGUCAUUCUGGCCCUAGUUCGUGUAAGUAUCAAUAAAAUACAAUUGGAAAGAUCUUUGAGUGAAGUUUCACUCUUUAGUUGAAGGUUUUGGCUAAAUUUGGCCACAAAUUUGUGAAAAUUUGUCGACACAACACCAACUCGGACUCGCAGCGAAAUAACGCGUGAACACUUCGUCGACGCAAGUCCCCACUUCGCAUUCCACCCCUGUAUAUAACCCUAGCCGAGUCCAUACUCA